rnacentral:rRNA from 1 species
AGAGUUUGAUCCUGGCUCAGGAUGAACGCUAGCUACAGGCUUAACACAUGCAAGUCGAGGGGCAGCAUGGUCCUAGCUUGCUAAGGCCGAUAGCGACCGGCGCACGGGUGAGUAACGCGUAUCCAACCUGCCUUACACUCUUGGACAGCCUUCUGAAAGGGAGAUUAAUACAAGAUGUUAUCAUGAGUAAGCAUUUUCACAUGAUUAAAGGUUUACCGGUGUAAGAUGGGGAUGCGUUCCAUUAGAUAGUAGGCGGGGUAACGGCCCACCUAGUCUUCGAUGGAUAGGGGUUCUGAGAGGAAGGUCCCCCACAUUGGAACUGAGACACGGUCCAAACUCCUACGGGAGGCAGCA